rnacentral:lncRNA from 1 species
UUUUAGAACUAUUUGACUUAUAAAAUUUCCUGAUCCCAACUAUCAUGUUGUUGCAAUUCUUUGCACUUUGGGGGACCCAGUUAACAGCUGCUAUUUACUUAAGUACUAGGUCUAUUUUACAGUUGUUUAUUAUUCUUGAUGUUGGCAAUUUCUGAGCCUGCUAUUCCUGUUUUUGUAGUAAUUAAUAUUUUACAUGUGAUAGUAAGCACCAGGCAUUUAUUUUAUUUUAUUUUUUUAUUGGUUGUUCAAAACAUUACAAAGGCAUUUAUUUUAAUGCUGUAUAUUAUUUGCUAUUACUACUGAUAUUUGUUUCCCCCUUUUUUUGUGAAUUGCUGAGCCUCUACUAGGACAUUACCAAUUCACAGGAUAUAGAAUUCACUGCUGAACUAAACCCAGCCACACAAAGUAACCAUGCACAAACUUAAGCAAUACUCUAAUACAAAGAAUAUAGGAAACCAAAAGUCAAACAUGACCGGAUUCCAAGCAGGAAUGACUGGGGAAGCCCUCAGGUUCCAAACAUGGGCAGCAACUCCUACAUCAAAAAUAUAAUUAACAGAAAGACACCUAUGAGACAUCUCAAUCUAGAUCAUUUAUAUACCCCUUUAGAAUAGACAGAAUCAUUAAGUAAAGAAAAGCAAUCACAGAGGCUUUACCCACAUACUCUUCUCUAUACAACAAAAUUGCAAGAUCUACAAAAUGGGUCCUUCUCCUUUGAGACCUACAGGAAAAGUAGAGUCACCAAGACCAAAUUUAAGAAUAAAUUGAAUUGGAAAGGGUUGUGCGAUGGAGGCUAAAUAUGUGGAUAACCUCUUCAGGGAAAUACUAACAGAAAAAUUUCCAAAUCUUGAGAAUGAGGUGGACAUCCAGAUGCAAAAGGCAUUCAGAACCUCAAACAGAAAAAGAGUAAAUUAAAAACAAAUUCUUCAUGAAAAUGCAAAUUAAAUUGCUUAAAAUACAAAAAAAAAUAGAAUUUUGAAAGACUUAAAGGAAAAUCAUUUAGUCACAUUUAGAGACAAGCCAAUCAAAAUUUCUUUUGAUUUUUUUAGCACAAUAUUUAAAAUCCAGGAGGUUUUGCAACAUACUAUUCCAAGCCCUGCGGAAAAAUGACUCUCAACAAGAUUGUUAUAUCCAGCAAAGCUAUCCUUCAAAAUCAAAAAGAAAAAAAAAACCUUCCAAGAUAAGAAGAAACAAAGAAUUCAUGACAGCUAAAGUGGCAUUACAGAAAAUACUUUAAGAAAUACAAUAUAGAGAAGAAAUAAAGCAAACCCCAGAGCUUGUAAAUGAACAAUUCUAAUUUGAAGCAUGGCUAGGCAAAUAAAAAACAGGAUCAAAUUAAACAAUAGAAGUAGAUCCAAAUGGCAGGAAUUAAUAAAUUUCUGUCUCAAAUAACAUUAAAUAUAAAUGGUCUCAAUUUCCCAACCAAAAGAUAUAGGCUCACAGAAAGGAUUAAAAAGCAAGACACAACAAUGUGUUGUUUGCAAGCAAUUUACCUUACAGGCAAAUAAGGUUUCAACAGCCACAGAAUAGAAAUUGAUAACAAUGCAAAUGAAGACCCAAAACAAGCAGUAUUAGCUACUCUCAUAUUCAACAAAGGAUAUUUCAAGUCAAAUAAAUUGGAAGAGACGCAAAAGUUCAUUUCAUACUUGUAAAUUAUAUGAACCAUUCAAUAAGAAAAUAUGAUAGUAAAUAACUGUGCCACAAACAUCAGGGCAUCUAAUUACAUGAAACAGAUACUACUCAAAAACUCAGAAAGACCCUACUAUCACAAUAAUGGAUGAUUUCAAAACACCUUUCUCACCAAUAUAUGUCAUCCAUACAUAUGCUCAGUAAAGAGUCUUCAGAACUAGAAAAUAUCAUAAAUCAAAUGGAAUUAACCUACACAGUAUUUCAUUCAACACAUUAAAUUCAUCUUAUUCUCAGCUGCAUAUUGAACAUUCUCCAAAAUUGAUCAUAUUUUAGAUCACAAAGCACCUCUUCACAAAUAUAAAAAAAUAUUACUACAAUUGCACAUAUCUUACCUGAUCAUAAUGGAAUAAAAAGAAAACUGCAGAAACUAUGUAAGUAUAUAGAGAUUUAACAACACAUUUUUGAUUAAUGAAUCAGUGAAACAAGAAUUCACAGGAGAAAUGUAAAAACACUUUGAAUCAAAAACAAAAAAAAAGAGUGAUACAACAUACCAGAACCUCUGAGGUACUAUGAAGGCAGUUCUAAGGGGAAAUGUUAUACCUAUGUUACUUACAAAAAAUCAGAAAUGUCCCAAAUAAAUAAUCUAAUCAUGCAUAUCAAAGCUCUUGAAAAGAUGAGAACAAACCAAUUCCAAUACCUGUAUAGGAAUUAAAUAAUUAAAAUAAGAGCUGAAAGCAAUGAAAUAGAGAAUAAAACAAUAUAAAGAAUCAAUUAAAUGAAGAUUAAUUUCUUGAAAAUAUAAACAAGAUUGACUCUUAGACAAAGUGAACAAAAUAAAAUGAGAGAAGACCCAUGUUAAUAAAAUUAGAAAUGAAUAAGGAGACCUAAUCCUACAAGAUGGAGAUUUAUAAGAUGCAGGGUCUCUGGCUUUAUUCCUAAAUCCUUGAUCCAUUUUGAGCUGAGUUUUGUGCAUGGUGAGAGAUAGGUGUUUAAUUUAAUUUUGUUGCAUAUGGAUUUCCAGUUUUCCCAGCACCAUUUGUUGAAGAGGCUAUCUUUUCUCCAAUGCAUGUUCUUGGCUCCUUUGUCUAAUAUAAGAUAAUUGUAGUUUUGUGGGUUAGUCUCUGUGUCCACUCUUCUGUACCAUUGGUCUACCAGUCUGUUUUGGUGACAAUACCAUACUGUUUUUGUUACUAUUGCUCUGUAGUAUAGUUUAAGAUAUGGUAUAGUGAUGUCACCUGCUUCACUUUUCCUGCUAAGGAUUGCUUUAGCUAUUCUGGGUCUCUUAUUUUUCCAAAUGAAUUUCAUGAUUCCUUUUUCUAUUUCUAUGAGGAAUGUCAUUGGAAUUUUGAUCAGAAUUGCAUUAAAUCUGUAUGGUGCUGGCCCUAAUCUCCAUCAUGUGGAAUUAGGCCCCAACUUUCUUAAUGAGACUCCUGUGGUACAAGAAUUAAAAAUCAAGAAUCAAUAAAUGGGAUGUAUUCAAACUAAAACGUUUCUUCUCAGCAAGAGAAACAGUCUGUGAGGUGAAUAGAGAGUCUACAUCUUGGGAGCAAAUCUUUACCCCUCACACAUUAGAUAGAGCACUAAUCUCUAGGGUAUAUAAAGAACUCAAAAAACUGAAUACCAAAAAAAAAAAAAAACUAAUAACCUAAUCAAUAAAUGGGCAAAGGACCUGAAGAGACACUUCUCAGAAGAUGAUAUACAAUCAAUCAACAGAUAUAUGAAAAAAUGUUCAUCAUCACUAGCAACUAGAGAAAUGCAAAUCAAAACCACUCUAAGAUUUCAUCUCACUCCAGUGAAAAUGGCAGCUAUUAUGAAGAAAAACAACCAUAAGUGUUGGCAAGGAUGUAGGGGAAAAAGGUACACUCAUAUACCGCUGGUGGGACUGUUAAUUGGUGCAGCCAAUAUGGAAAGCAGUAUGGAGAUUUCUUGGAAAAUUGGGAAUGGAACCACCAUUUGACCCAGCUAUCCCUCUCCUUGGUCUAUACACAAAGGACUUAAAAACAGCAUACUACAGGGACACAGCCACAUCAAUGUUUAUAGCAGCACAAUUCACAAUAGCUAAACUGUGGAAUCAACCUAGAUGCCCUUCAAUAGAUGAAUGGAUAAAAAAAUGUGGCAUAUAUACACAAUGAAAUAUUACUAAGCAAUAAAACAGAAUAAAAUCAUGGCAUUUGUGGGUAAAUGGAUGGAGUUAAAGAAGAUAAUGCUAAGUGAAGUUAGCCAAUCCCAAAAACCCAAAUGCUGAAUGUUUUCUUUGAUCUAGGGAGGCUGAUGUAUAGUGAGAGAGGAAAUGGGAACAUGGGAGGAAUAGAAGAACUCUAGAUAGGGCAGAGGGUUUGAAGGGGAAGGGAGGAGGCAUAGGUUAUAAAUGAUGGUGGAAUGUGAUAAUCAUUAUUAGCCAAAGUACAGAUAUAGACACGAAUUGGUGUGAAUAUACUUUGUAUACAACCAGAGAUAUGAAAAAUUGUGCUCCAUAUGUGUAAUAAGAAUUGUAAUGCAUUCUGCUCUCAUAUAAAAAUUUAAAAAAGAAAUGAAUAAGGAGAAAUGAUGGAAAUCCAAAGGAUCAUUAGAGACUAUUUUGAAAACUUAUACUUCACUACAUUGGAAAUCCUAGAAGAAACAAGAUACAAUUCUAAAAACAUAUGACCUACCAAUGUAGAAUCAAGAGGACACAGAAUACCUUAACAUAUUUACAACCAGCAGGGAGAUACAAGCAGUAAAAAAACAACCCGUUCAACAACAACAACAACAACAACCAAAAAAAAAAAAAAAACAGAAGAAAGAAAAGCAUAGGCUCAGAUUAAUUCUCAGUUAACUUUUAUCAUUCCAUUAAAUAAAAUAAAUCCAAUUCUUUUCAAAUUAUUCAAUGAAAUAGAUAAUGUGGAACCCUUUCAAAUUCAUUGCAUAAAGCCAAUAUCACUCUAAUACUAAACUAGAAAGGACACAUCAAAGAAAUCAAGACUAAUAUUCCUGAUGGUGUUUUGAUGCACAUUUUCUUAAUAAAAUAUUAUCUAAUCACAUUCAACAACAUAUUAAGAUCAUACAUCAUUAUCAAAUCAUUUUUUAUUCCAGGGUUGCAAAAAUGGUUUAACAUAUGCAAAUAAAUAAAUGGAACUCACCACAUCAAUAGAAUUAAGGACAAAAAAUCAUAUGGUUAUCUCAAUAAAUGCAAAAAUGUCUUCAAAAUAUUUAGCACUCAUUCCUGAUAAAAAUACUGAAGAAAUUAAGGAUAGAAGGAACUUGCCUCAACAUCAUAAAGGCUAUGUAAGACAAACUCAAAGCCAACAUCAUAGUGAAUGGGGAGAAACUGAAAUGACUACGAGACAAACUAAGCUCAUCUUUGGAGCAGAUAAAUGAAACAAAAUUAAGACUCAGAAUUAGGACAGUGCCCAUAAGAGAACAGGCCAGUUGUUUGAGGGAUAUAUUUUAGGUAAAACCAACACAGCAUACUGGACAACAUGGAGACAGUGAGGUGGAGGAAAAACCAAUCAAUCUGUAGAAGUAUUAUGAGUUAUUAUGGAUUUGUUUGUUCAAAUUACCUUGUCUCCAGAAGGAGUACAAAAUGCUGAGGAAUUAAAACCCCGGUUACAUCAUUUUCAUGAAAGGCAGACUGGAACAGAUUCAUUGUCAAGGAGAGCAAGAAAUGCCACUGGCCACACAAGGAUGAAAUCUGAGGAAUCCAUAUGAAACCUCAGGGAACUUGCAGGGGCUUUAAUGUACAGGAGACAUAUUUCAAAAGGAAAGCUGAGGAUGGCACCCAAGGUAUUCUCCUGGCUUGUCUAAAGUCAGAUUGCAACACCAGGGAAAGAAGACAUUGAAGAACUAGAACAGUAAACACUCCCUCAACUUUGUCCAGUAGCAUUUAGGUUAUUCAAAACCAUGUUUCCCAGGUGAAAACUUGGUAAAGGUAAGCACAAACAUUUGAUACUUUAUAUAUGAUUGUUUAAAGUCAAGCCAGCAAUACUAGUACUAUUUUUAAAUUAUUUCCUUAAAAAUUUUUCCCUGAGAUGAAAAGCAGUGUUUAAACAUUUUAUUAAAUAUGUCAACCAUAGAAAAAUACAAAAAACAAGUAGCAGGGCUAGGGCUGUAGCUCAGUGGCAGAGCAUUUGCCUAGCAUGUGUGAGGCACUGUUUUCCACCCAUAGUACCACAUAAGAACACAACAAAUUAAAUAAAGGCAUGCUGUCUAUCUAUAACUACAAAAUAUUUUUUAAAAAGCAAAUAACAGCCAAAAAUAACCACUAUUACAAUGUUAUAUUACUUUUUUAUGCAUAGAUACAAACUAUCUUUACACAAAAGAGGACAUCUGACUUAUGCUGUUUGUUUUCUGCUUUUUUAAAAAGAAUUUAAAAAUUUUCUAUAUAUUUAAAAGUAGAUGGUCCAGGCUGGGGUUGUGGUUCAGUGGUAGAGUGCUCAACUAGCAUAUGUGAGGCCCUGGGUUUGAUCCUCAGCACCACAUAAAAACAAAUAAACAAAAUAAAGUUAUUAUGUGCAACNAGAGACAGCCUCUAAGUAAAUUAAUAUUUAAAAAAAGUAGAUGGUCCAAGCCCUGAAAUUUGUUAUAAUUUUCUUGUCUUUUGAGCUAAAAUUGAUUUAAACAUCAAAUUACUUAGAGGAGGGAAUCAAACAAUUACUUUAUAUAUUUCUGGAAAUUCUUUAAUAAGAGUUUUUCUUUUUCCAAGGCCACCAGAUCCUGCUUCCAGUGAAUUCUUGAUGUCUUCUCAGCAUUUUACAAGUCUCAGAUGAAUUUUCUAUUCCAUACAAUGUUGCCUCAAUUUACCUAUUCUGGACUUUGUACAUGUGUGCUUUACCUAUGAUCUAACACAAUAGGAGGCAAUAUUAUAUUGUUGAACAGUGCAAUAAAAGAUUUAAAAACUGAAUAUUAGAUUUUUUUUUCUUAAAAUUCCCUCCACCUUCAAGAUGUUUAAUUAACUUCAAACCAUUGUCUGUCCCUGAGGAAUUCUGCUUGCCCUUAAAAUAAUGUUUUCACUACUCACAUAAAAAUAAGGAAACCAAAUUUUCUUUUCUGAAGACUAUUAAAUAGUGCAAAGAGCAAGUUUACACAUAAUCCAGGAAGUCCAGUAAGUGAGGUUUCUGUGGAUGCUUUGAGGGUACUGCAGAAGAACACUAAAACUCUGCCUUACAGAGCCUCAUGGAAGAAAUAGUAUUGAUCCAGAGAAAUAGAGAGGAGUAAGGAAGGUCAACCUGGUAAAGCAAGUUGAGCAAAGUUUCAGGGGCAGGAAACACCUGAGUAUUUC